CUCAGUUCGGAUUGAAGGCUGAAAUUCGCCUUCAUGAAGCCGGAAUUGCUAGUAAUGGCAGGUCAGCAUACUGCCGUGAAUACGUUCCCGGGCCUUGUACACACCGCCCGUCACACCAUGAGAGUCGGGAACACCCGAAGUCCGUAGUCUAACCGCAAGGGGGCGCGGCCGAAGGUGGGUCCGGUAAUUGGGGUGAAGUCGUAACAAGGUAUC
rnacentral:rRNA from 1 species